rnacentral:lncRNA from 1 species
CUUCUCUACCAUACUAUUUUGAAGAAAGAGAACUUCCUCUUUCCGAAUAUGUGUAAUUGGGUCAGAUGGUGUAUGUCUCCAUUAAUGGUUUAGCUGAGAUUGGGUGGAUGUGUUUGAUGCAAAUCUACCAACUGUCUCUGCAUACUGUGCAUUGUUUUGCAUUGUGGAGCCAUCUCUGAACAUGAGCUGCUUUCCUUUGGGAAGAAACUAAGCUGGAAAAUAGGCUUCAGAUGUAUGCACAGUUUGUUCUUACUUUAAAUGAUCGUUUGUUCCACGGAGACAGACUAGGGCUAAUCUGAAGAUAAAAAUGGUUAAAUGCACAUAGGGCAUAUGGAGUGUCCAGCUACAUGUGUUUUGUUCUGUGUAUACUUUUUUCAGUGAAUACAGUAUGAUAAUAUAUGGAUAGCCUUUACAGUCUCUCUUGUGCAAUACAUUCAUAUUGCUAGACAUCUCCCUGAAUUUUGUUCAAGAAAUAUAAAAGUAUGUGUUGGAAUAAAGGAUACAGAAUUAUAAGAUAUGUAUGACCUAAGGGGAGAGCAAGAAAGAUGUACAGUAUGGAUAGCCUGAGGUAUGUUUUUAAAACCCAGAUAUGUGCUACAGAGAGCAGCCUGUCCUGCUUUUGCAUAGAUUAAAUCUUGCAAGCACAGGAGACAUUAGCAAACAUCUGUAGACGGCCAUUUACAGCAGUUCAGGUCCUGUACACCCUAGAUAGUAAAUUCAGCAGAAUUAAGAGCUAGUUAUUAAGUUUAAUCACCAAUGUUUGUAGAGCGGAUUAGUGCUGUUGGGUACCACUGAUGUAGAUAUUAGAUAUACCACCAGUGACGUACCUUGAUUUCUC